GGAUUCCCCUAGUAACGGCGAGUGAAGCGGGAAAAGCUCAAAUUUGAAAUCUGGCGGUCUACGGCCGUCCGAGUUGUAGUCUAGAGAGGUGUCUUCUGCGUCGGACCAUGCACAAGUCCCUUGGAACAGGGCGUCAUAGAGGGUGAGAAUCCCGUCCGUGGCAUGGACUCCCGGUGCUUUGUGAUGCGCCUUCGAAGAGUCGAGUUGUUUGGGAAUGCAGCUCAAAAUGGGUGGUAAAUUCCAUCUAANGCUAAAUACAGGCGAGAGACCGAUAGCGAACAAGUACCGUGAGGGAAAGAUGAAAAGCACUUUGGAAAGAGAGUUAAACAGUACGUGAAAUUGUUGAAAGGGAAACGCUUGGAGUCAGUCGCGUUUGCCGGGACUCAGCCUUGCUUCUGCUUGGUGCACUUCCUGGUACACGGGCCAGCAUCGAUUUUGAUCGCCGGAAAAAGGCUUGGGGAAGGUGGCACCUUCGGGUGUGUUAUAGCCCCUUGUUGUAUACGGUGGUUGGGAUUGAGGACCGCAGCACGCCUUUUGGUCGGGGUUCGCCCACGCCACGUGCUUAGGAUGCUGGCGUAAUGGCUUUAAACGACCCGUCUUGAAACACGGACCAAGGAGUCUAACAUGCCUGCGAGUGUUUGGGUGUAAAACCCAGGCGCGUAAUGAAAGUGAAAGGUUGGGACUCUUCGCUGAGGCACCGACGCCCGAUCCUGACGUUCUCUGACGGAUUUGAGGUAGAGCAUGUAUGUUGGGACCCGAAAGAUGGUGAACUAUGCCUGAAUAGGGCGAAGCCAGAGGAAACUCUGGUGGAGGCUCGUAGCGAUUCUGACGUGCAAAUCGAUCGUCAAAUUUGGGGUAUAGGGGCGAAAGACUAAUCGAACCAUCUAGUAGCUG
rnacentral:rRNA from 1 species